UGGGGGAUAUUGCACAAUGGGCGCAAGCCUGAUGCAGCGACGCCGCGUGGGGGAUGAAGGCCAUCGGGUUGUAAACUUCUUUUGCUCUGAACAAGGCGCACUUUGGGGUGUGUUGAGUGUAGGGGUUGAUUAGCGCCGGCUAACUACGUGCCAGCAGCCGCGGUAAUACGUAGGGCGCGAGCGUUGUCCGGAAUUAUUGGGCGUAAAGGGCUUGUAGGUGGCUGGUUGCGUCUGUCGUGAAAGCUCAUGGCUUAACUGUGGGUUUGCGGUGGGUACGGGCUGGCUUGAGUGCAGUAGGGGAGGCUGGAAUUCCUGGUGUAGCGGUGGAAUGCGCAGAUAUCAGGAGGAAUACCGGUGGCGAAGGCGGGUCUCUGGGCUGUUACUGACACUGAGGAGCGAAAGCAUGGGGAGCGAACAGG
rnacentral:rRNA from 1 species